AUCGAAAGUUUCUUCCUCUUCCAUAACCCCAUAACCUUCGCCUGCAUAUAUCUGUUGAAUGAAAUUACAUAAAAUAUCAAAAUGACAUAUGAUCAGUUUCAUUAACUCACUGUUUAUUCUUUAUCUUUUGGGGUUUCGUAUAAUGGGUUUCCAAAUACCAAAAGCAAACCAUGUCCAGAAUCUUUUAGAACAAGCCUUAGAGCUAUGGAGAAAGAAAUCUCAAACAAGGUUAAUUUGCUCCACCAAAGUGCUGAAGAAUGUGAAGAGCAAGGGGUGAGCAUUGAAGUUCAAAUUACAGCUGGGGUUCCCAUAAAGAAUGUUGUUCUAUGAAGUGCUUACCUCAAAGGCAGCAUGGGUUGUACUUGAUAGUAAUGGCUUCUUCAUUAGCCAACACAGUUUGCGAGCGGAGAGUAAAGGGGCAGAAGGAAGGUGCGACGAGUUUUGUAGGCUAAUCUGGUGUUGGAAAAAUUCGGUUAGGAAAACGAUUUUUAGUUAUAGUAGAAGUUUAAAAUUUUUGAAAACCGAGUUAACUUGUGAUAUUCAUAUCAAUAAUUUUUUUCUGAAUUUAUAGUGAUAUAAGAGAAUUCUAAUUGAAUAAGAAUAACAUAAAUAAUAUUUAUUUAAUAGAAAAUACUCCUCUAGUCUAUUUAGGAGAGUGAUGGGCGGCACACACUAAGGUUGCCACCCCUCCCUUAUCAUAUGAGGGGAUUAGACUUCUCAUGUAUUGA